AGUAGGAUAAUUGGGUCAUAUGGUGGUUCCAUUCCUAGUUUUUUGAGGAACCCCCAUAUUGCUUUCCAGAGGGGUUGUACCGAUUUGUACUCCCACCAAUAGU
rnacentral:pre_miRNA from 1 species